GUUAUUAUUAUUUAUUUUUUUUUAAAUCCAAUUUUUUUCAACUGCUUUUUUGAAUAGGCGACCUCUAUACGACAGGUUUCAAUGGAAUUGCGAAAGAUUUCUAUCAACCCUUUUGUCGUUUUUCUGCACAUUCAUGCUAGCCAUUUUCUAAAGUUUUUGGAAACAAUGAUUGCUUGGAAGAUUAAAGAAGGUUUCAUCUCACCAAAAAUCAUAAGAAUCGUCCAUUUUGCCGUAACAGAGUCCAGCGAUCAACACCUUCAAUUACAAAAAUUUCUGAAGUGGUGCAAAUUUCCCUGUCAUUUAUCAGUAGAUAAUUUGGUUAAUUGCAGUUUUUUUUUUUAUAUUGUGGAAAAAGAUUUUAAUUUUCUAAUAUACCUUCGCGCAGUAUCGUAAUUUCAUACUUUUUAUUAAAAUCGUAAGCUCAGUUGAUCAUCUAUUUUACUUCGCUUCCAUCUUCCCGCAUUGGCCUAUUAACAAGGUAAAUGGAUUUGUUUUUGAUAUUGUCUAUAUUCCUUCCUUUACUAAAUUUUGUAUUCUCAGAAAUUAAUACGCAAUAUCAUUUGGUUUGUCAGGUAUUUAUCGUAACUUCGUAUGGAAGGAGAGAACCGAAAUUGGAACAACUGUGCUGCAAUCACAUGUGCUUUAUCCUCACUCAUUUUUUAUGAUCAUUAUUGUUGUUCCACAUCAUAAUUCGUCCCAACAUACCUAGGCUUGAUCAUUGGUUUCAUUUAGCAACGAUUAGUAGUGAGUAAAUAAGCUAGAGAAGAGCUACGAAAAAAAUAAGGAAAGACGGUACAGCGUUGUCGUGUACAAAAAUCUGCAAUUUCCAUCAUAAAAUUCUCAAAACUAAAGCAAAAAUGCAAGCGGAAAUCUACAUAUAUACAUAAACUAGAAUGUGACCGAAAAUUGGAAUGGCGACAAAAUGAUAUUUAAUUCUGCAAAAGAAAUAGUUCCCACGUUCGAAAUAUUAAGAAAAAACUCAAGCGAAACAACUCAAACAUACAACGACCCAACAUGCAUGACACAACAAUUUCAAUUAUCACAGUCUCUUACGUCUGAAUUAUCCGCAUCUCUUAUUACAUGCACAUUUACACCAUUAAGCUGUUGUUGCUGUAACUUCAUCUCUGAGAAAGUACUUUCAACGAGGGAGCAUAUCAACAAAGCACGUAAGUCAUUAACCUCUUAUUUUGAUUUUUUUUUGGUGAGAAUACGAUA